UACGUAGGGUGCGAGCGUUGUCCGGAAUUAUUGGGCGUAAAGAGCUCGUAGGCGGUCUGUCGCGUCUGCUGUGAAAACCCGAGGCUCAACCUCGGGCUUGCAGUGGGUACGGGCAGACUAGAGUGCGGUAGGGGAGAAUGGAAUUCCUGGUGUAGCGGUGGAAUGCGCAGAUAUCAGGAGGAACACCGGUGGCGAAGGCGGGUCUCUGGGCCGAUACUGACGCUGAGGAGCGAAAGCGUGGGGAGCGAACAGG
rnacentral:rRNA from 1 species